CAGCAGCCGCGGGAAUACGGAGGGGGCUAGCGUUGUUCGGAAUUACUGGGCGUAAAGCGCACGUAGGCGGCUUGGUAAGUUAGAGGUGAAAGCCUGGAGCUCAACUCCAGAAUUGCCUUUAAGACUGCCGAGCUAGCAGGUGAGAGAGGUAAGUGGAAUUCCGAGUGUAGAGGUGAAAUGCGUAGAGAUCGGAAGGAACAUCUGUGGCGAAGGCGACUAUCUGGGCCAACACUGACACUGAGGCACGAAAGCGUGGGGAGCAAACAGGAUUAGAUACCCGAGUAGUCCCUGUCUCUUAUAC
rnacentral:rRNA from 1 species